AUUGAACGCUGGCGGCAUGCCUUACACAUGCAAGUCGAACGGCAGCACGGGAGCAAUCCUGGUGGCGAGUGGCGAACGGGUGAGUAAUAUAUCGGAACGUGCCCAGUCGUGGAGGAUAACGUAGCGAAAGCUACGCUAAUACCGCAUACGAUCUAUGGAUGAAAGCGGGGGAUCGCAAGACCUCGCGCGAUUGGAGCGGCCGAUAUCAGAUUAGGUAGUUGGUGAGGUAAAGGCUCACCAAGCCGACGAUCUGUAGCUGGUCUGAGAGGACGACCAGCCACACUGGGACUGAGACACGGCCCAGACUCCUACGGGAGGCAGCAGUGGGGAAUAUUGGACAAUGGGCGGAAAGCCUGAUCCAGCAAUGCCGCGUGAGUGAUGAAGGCCUUCGGUCGGUAAG
rnacentral:rRNA from 1 species